rnacentral:lncRNA from 1 species
GCGAUAAUUCCCACAGCUGUCUUUUUUUAUCUUUUUCAGCUGUACUAUGAUAAUCGAUUCUAGCCUAGGUGUAAGAAUCGUAGCCUACAAUGAUCAUGUAUGGUAGGAGAUGAGUCCUUGUAUCCUAAAAUUUAGGAUCCUAGUUUUUGGCAGUAUAUGUCAUGUAUAUGAGCAUGCUUUUGCUUAGACUUUAAUAUAGAAAAAUACUGAACAUUCUCAUU